rnacentral:rRNA from 1 species
GGCUCAGAUUGAACGCUGGCGGCAGGCCUAACACAUGCAAGUCGAGCGGUAGAGAGAAGCUUGCUUCUCUUGAGAGCGGCGGACGGGUGAGUAAUGCCUAGGAAUCUGCCUGGUAGUGGGGGAUAACGUUCGGAAACGGACGCUAAUACCGCAUACGUCCUACGGGAGAAAGCAGGGGACCUUCGGGCCUUGCGCUAUCAGAUGAGCCUAGGUCGGAUUAGCUAGUUGGUGAGGUAAUGGCUCACCAAGGCGACGAUCCGUAACUGGUCUGAGAGGAUGAUCAGUCACACUGGAACUGAGACACGGUCCAGACUCCUACGGGAGGCAGCAGUGGGGAAUAUUGGACAAUGGGCGAAAGCCUGAUCCAGCCAUGCCGCGUGUGUGAAGAAGGUCUUCGGAUUGUAAAG